CUGUCCAUGACAAACACCAGAAUUUAAUGAAUAAAGUAUAAACUAUCAUAUAGAAGGAAAGAAGGGCUGGCAAGAGAACAACCCAUAGAGGAGGAAUAUACUUGUGAGCCGAAAGCCGUAAAGGAGCGUGAAAUUUGUAAUUGCUAUGAUACUUACAGGAUUUACGAGGCCCCUCACAAAAGUUGCAUGUGUGUGCUGUAAUUGCCUCACAGGAACUGAAACUGGAGGUGAAAAUUGAAUACUCGAUUCAUCUAGUGGUGUAGCAACCACUGCGACUUCACAUGAGUAUGCAUUUCCUUUUGUGGAGUUGAGCUCAUAAUAUUCUCCAAGAUAAGAGAUGGAAUCAAUUUCUUCAUGGAGAUACAGUUCAACAUCUGAACUAUUAAUUAGUCCAGCAGCCAUCUGCCAGUUCCCUCCUUCAACAGCCCAUAAACCACCACCAGAUCCUGCCAAGGAAACCGCUCCGGCAAGUCCACUGAUGUUGACACUUUGACCAUAAUUAAUUCGUGUAAUGACCUGCAUGCAAACCCAACAGAAUUCUAAGUUGUCAAUAAAUCUUCAGAACUCAGUUAAACUACCCAAUUACGAGUCAAUUUCACAUCUUGGCGAAUCUAAAGACAUCACCACAUCUUCCAUAGUACUUGCACAUAAUGAGAUUCUACUUGCUGCACGCACAUCUAUGCUUCUGACAAGCAAACUAGAGGUUCAGGAAACUGCCGUUCUAAAUAAUUUGUCUCAUUUCUCUCCUUUUUUCUUUUUAAAGGAGAGAAUGGUUGUUAAAGGCAGAAAAAAUAAAGAAAAGAAAGCAAGGGAAACGUUUAUAUUUACAGUUUGGAUUACUCACAAAAAUACCUUUCCACCAAGAACAAGAAGAUGGAAAACUGUUUUCACAAAAUGGAUAACAGAUACCUGCCAUCUUGUUGUUUUGGGUGGAAAGGUACGUGAAACAGUGAAAUGUGAGUAUGUGAAUAGUUUUCUACAGCAAAUCGCAUAUUUGGUUUUGUAAAUAGUUAAUAAAGCAAGGGCAACAUUUAUUUUUACGAUUUGGAUAACUCACAAAAUACCUUUCCACCAAAAACAUCAAGACGGAAAACUGUUUUCACAAAAUUGAUAACACAUGCCUGGUUUCCAUCUUGUUGUUUUGGAUGGAAAGGUAUGUGAAACAGUGAAAUGUGAGUAUGUGAAUAGUUCUUCUACAGCAAAUCACAUGGUUUGGUAAAUAGUUAAUAGUAAUAAAAAGGUAUGUGAAGAUUGAAAUGUGAGUAUGUGAAUAGUGUUUUCACAGCAAAAGGCAUAUCUGGUUUAGUAAAUUGGUAAUGUUAAUAUUAAUAAUAUAAUAAUAAUAAUAAUAACAAGUGAAAGCAAUCAAUAUAAACACAAAAAGGGGAGGCAAUUCAAAAAAAAAACUCGAUACCUACAUGAAAAUACGAGCACUUGAUCUCAUCGCUACUGUUCCGAUAAUUUCUAGUAGUCCAAUUCACUGUAUUUUAAUCUCCUUCUUUAUGCAUGAAUUGACAUUUACGUUAUGUGUUCUUGUCUUUGCAUAAAAAGAAAGCAAAGGAGGAAAUCACACACAACUACACCAGCCAAUCCCUUUUGUAAUCACACGAACUAAACUAAACAAACUGCAAAAAGAAUUCAAAGCCAAUCGGCCAAAGUGAGGGAAAAAAGAAGUAGAAGAAGGAAAUCCUUACAGUGACCAAUUCUUUAAUCAACAAAGGAGCCAAUUUAACACCAUCAACCAGCUCCUCCUUCAAACUCUUUCCUGUAAGAUUAAACAAACCAGCCCACUUCAACAUCUCCUCAACACUCUCAAACACAGGCCUUGUUUCCACUCCUUCAUAAUACUUCAAAAACUUAUUCACUGUCUCAUCAACAAACCCUUCCAUUUUUACAAGUGAAAAACCAUAUCUCAUAAACAAAUAAAUCCCAUUAAAAAAAGACACAAUCUUGUUCACAAUCCCCCAAUUUGAAUUCACAUUUAGGGUUUUAACAACAAACCCAUUGCCAUCCCAAAUCCCCAAUGAAAUUGAACUCUCUGAACUGGAUGGUCUCUUCCCCGUCAAAUUUAGCAAAUUAGUAUAGUUCGAGGCGUGGUAGUUUUUGGGGUGGAGAAUUGAAGCUCCGGCCUCGAAGGCGUCGCCGCCGAUUGUAACGGUGGCCAUCCGGCCGCCGACGAUGGCGUGUCUUUCGAAGAUUAGGAUUUUCGGAUGGUGGCUCGUGGUGUAUUGGCGGAGGAAGUGGGCGACUGAAGAGCCGCCAAUUCCGCUGCCGAUGAUGCAUACGGUAGCAUCGUCGCCUCCGGCUGACGUGGUGGCGGAGAAGGAGGUGUGUGGGAAUGUGAGGCCGCCGAAGAUCGCGAGUAAGAAGAUAAUUUUUAGUGGCAACAUAACCAUUUCUUCUUUUCUUAUUUUUUCAACCAUCAGCUUUGCUCAAGACAAUCUCAGAGGAAGAAGCGAAGGUAUAAAAGUUUCUAGCUAGGAUUUUACUGUUUGCUGUUGACUUGUGAAAUAUUUUUAUUUAGUCCCUAAAUACUUAAUGAAAUAAUUAGUUAGUGCUUCUAGUUUUCAAAAUUCUCAUAUUGAAUCCUUAUAUUUAUAUAUUUUUUGCAUGAGUGAUCCGAAAUUACCAGGUCAACCAUUUAUAUUUUUUUUAUUAAAACCGUGACAUUUUUUUUUUACAAGUAUUGACUCGAAUAAAUUUAUUUGAUUUUAAUUUAAUAAAUUAAAUUAUUACAAAUUUGAUUAGAUAAACCGAGAUAUACCGUAUUAAUAUAUUUUUUAAUAAACUUGAAACUUGUGGGUCUAAAUCAUAUGUUUUUCAGAUCAAUUGCCAAGCCGGUUCCUUGUACAAAGAAAUCAAUGAAUCAUAUUUAGAUUCUUCUUGAAAUUAUAAUAAUGAUGACGGUUUAAAAUAUUAUUUAUUUAAAAAUAUAUUAAAAUAAAUUUUUUUUAAUUUUUAAAAAUUAUUUUUGACAUCAACACAUCAAAACGAUUCAAAACAUAAAAAAAUUUCAUUUAAAAAAAAUAAAAAAUAAAUUUUUUAAAAUUUAAAAAAAUACAAUUUUCACCGCGCUCCUAAACAAAACAUUAACUUAAAUUGUGCAGCCGCAUGGAUAAGCUCAUCAUAGUAUACUGUGUUACCAAUUAAAAAAAGGUGUUCACUUGAGGUUUUGGCCUAGCGGUGGUAGGGACUUGUUCCAUUUCUCUGCACCCGGGUUUGAACCUCACUGUACACGCCUGUCACCCCGCGGUGCCUUACAUGCUCACUGGGUUUGCAGGAUGUUCAAUGGACCGUGUGAUUAGUCGUGGUGCGCGCAAGCUAGUCCGGACACCCACAUAAAUAAUAAUAAAAAAAAGUUGCAAAUAAUGGCUGCAAUGCUGGUACAAUAAUGUUUGAGACUGAUGGAACAAAAUAAACCACGAGGAACAAGAGAGAAAAACUUCAUGUGGUUAGCAAAGGGAUAUGAUGUUGGAAUAACUGAGACAAUAAUCAUUCUCCACGAAGAACUGCCAAAAAAAAAGAAGCAAAAUGCAAUCUCGACAGAGCUUCUCAAAAGCGUGGAGUCAUGGUUAGAUGAUUAAUUGUCCUGUUGCAAGAUAGAGAUGUUAGUUUCUUUUUGAAAGUUAACAGGUAGAGUCAAGCCAGCGCAUAUGGAUCAACAAGCUUGAAAGGCUCAUCUGAUGGAUCAACAUGAAAUAUUUUUAUUGAAAACACGCUUGAAAGGCUCAUGAUUAGAAGGUUCAAAGUCAGGGAAGUGAUAGGCUGUUUAUGUAUCUAAUUUUAGAUGUAAUUUUUCCUAUAUUAGUUAUGUUUGAGCCUAAACAUAUGUGAGUUUGAUAAAAUACUAGAUCCAAUUUUUUUAGGCUCGAUUACAUAUUGAAUUUAAAUGCCUGUGAAUCCGGUAAGAUAUCGGACCAACUCUCUUGGUCUCAACCAAGCCCAAAUGCUUAUGAGCUUGACAAGAUGUCAUUCUCAAUUUCCUUGAGCUCAACUUGUGCAUUAAGCCCUAGUAUAUUUGGGCUUGGAAAGAUGUUGAACCCAACAUCUUUGAGUUUAGAAUCAUUCCAAAUCCAAACAUAUAAUUGAUGAUCUUUAAUGGCCUCAUGUUGAGUCGCGAGACUAUCCUUAGGAUCCUUAACCUGGAAUACUAAGAGUUUAAGGUAGUCAUUUCCCUACACUCCUAGUUGUAUAAAAGUUAUCAAGAACCGAUUAUAUCUCAAUUAAUAUUAAUGCUAUGAAAAAGUUAUUUUCAUCAACAUUAAUAUUGUGUAUGAAAUAAAGUAUAAAAUCUUUCAUAGUUCUACUAUUUAUCCGUAAGCACUAAUGAUGUGAAAUGAUAAUUUCCAUUAACAUUAAUGUUGUGUAAGAAGAUGUUUCCAUCAGUAUUAGUGUUGAUAUAAAAGGAUUUCUUUCUUAUUAAGAUAUUCAAGAGGAAAAGACUUUCAACCCCUUGAGCAAAACAAUAAGGUUCAAAGUACAAGAAUUAUAAAUACUCUUCGAGCCACCAUGGUAAAACAUUCACGAUCUUCAUUCUCUUAUCAUAUAUUCUCAAAGUGUUUAUAACAUAAAAACCAAGAACAAAGAUUUUUGUUCUUAAAAUUUAAUGCUUAGUUUCUUAUUUAUUACAAUUUUUACUAUAAAAUUACUAACUUAAUCAUCAAUUCUAUGCUCUUUCAAUUUCUAGGAACAAAAUCCUAACAUAAACAUGUUAUCAUUCCCUGUCCAAAUACUCAAACCAGCAUAUUGGAUCCAGGAGACCAUCACCAACACACGUGAUGAAGUUUCAAGGCACUUAAUUGAAAACUUCAUAAACCGAAAUCAUAAAACUCCGUCGGCAUAAAUUGCUAUAUGAGGAAACCCUUCACCAAGACUAAUGAAAUAAAUGCACAUUUGAUUGAUGAGUCAUGAUCGAGAAUGUUGACUAUGAAGAAUGUUAACCAAUUGAUUUCAAAAUUAAUCAAUGAUAAAAUAACAUAGUGCUAUAGAAGAUUUGUCAAAAACAAAUCAUGGUGGGCCAUCAAUUCUAAGCAGCUAAUACAUCAACUAUCUACAUUCAUGCUAUCUAUUUUCUAGCUAAAUUUAGCUGAAAAGCCAUUUUAGCUAGCUGUUUAAAAGAUAUGAUCACAUCAAUGCUCUCUAUAACAGGGAGUCAUGAAUAUUUGUUUUCUUAUUUUUAUACAUUAGAUGAACAUUCAAGUAUAUAUUAUUCAUAUCCAUGCUCCUCAUCUUUAGCUAAGAAGGUGUUUGAAAUCAAUCAAAACAUGAAAGAGCUGUUGUUGCUGGCUGAAGAAGUUGUUCUUCCAGUUCAGCUUCUUUCCUGUUCUUCAAGUUCUGCCUCCAAUUCAGCCUGAAAAUGUCCAACUAUUUAGAUGCUCCAAUGGGGGAUGAUAAUGCUUCUUGAAUCUGUUUCAUGCUCUCUGUUUGCUCAUUGAUCUCAUCAAUUGUCUUUCCCACAUCAUCAAUAUUCCUGUAAUCCACCAUUUUCACAUAUAUUAAUCACAUGUACCAGACAACUUCAUUAAUCAGAUAUCAUACAUGCAAAUAGAAUUAAUGGAAGGCAUCACCAAAUUGAAGCCAAAUAAAGAUGGUGUUUCCUGUUAACAGUCAUUAAAAAAGAAACACUUAAAUUGGACAAGACAAUGAGAAUCACAAAUAUUUUCAGAGUGAAGCAAGUUUUAUAAAUUUUAAUGAGUCUGGUUAAAAUCCGGCAAGGCGCCAAGGAGAUGGUCACCCAAUUACAGAGUCGAAAAGCUGCAUAUCAAAAUAACAAGCGAUUGAAGUCCUAGCAUCUUUCACAUCUGCAACACUUUUAAUCUACAAUGCUUGCAAACCAGAAGCAGCACGCUAGAGGAAAUUUGACAUUUCAAAUAGCUCUCUCAGGUAAAAUAUUCUCUUUGAUCAGAUUAUUGGGACUUCCAGUUUGAGUCGAAGUUCUUUCAAGGGGCAACAGAUUUAGUGCACAACAUAAACUCUUCAAAGGAAUGAUCGCAGAUGCGAACAUGAAUACAAUAUGGACCUGUAGUAUAUGGCCUCAAGCGUUUAACACAUCAGGAUCCAAGCUAAAUAUCGAAAAUUGUUCAGCUGCGCUAGUUUGUGUCAGCGAAGAAAUUUUGAUGCUUCAAGGCCGCAUGCUUGAAAUCCAUCUUCAGCCUACCCCCUCUGCAUGUUUGGUUGGUUAGCGACUAGGCAGGCCAGACUGAUGUUGAAUGUUGGAAGAUUUUGGUGGCUCAGGUUAACCCAACCCCUAAGAAUAUCUUCAUGCCUAGUGCGAAAAGCCUAAAUCCAUUUCUUUAUAGCGCGAGUCUGAGAUGGGUAAAGGUCUCUAGGCAUCAAUCUUUUACUUGAGAGCUGAGAUCUGUAAAUCUAUGGGAAAAUAAAAAUUAGUGAGCUAGAGGGCUGCCAUCUUCCCAUCUGCACGGUGUCUUCAUUUAUCAAAAAUCAUAUCAAAACGCAAUUUUCCUGGAAUAAAGGCAAAUCACACAAAAUAUCUACUAAAAAUAACAUAACUCAUCAUUAAUUUGUACACAGUAUUAUUGCUUUGUCUAUUUAUACAUUCAGUAAGCUGCUUUGAUUGCUUCAAGGAAAUUCUGUUGUAUAAUACAAGUUCACAUAUCUACUGAUCUUGAUUUACAUUCACAAAAAAGAAAAAGAAAAAACCCUUAUAUUCUCAGUGUCAUGCAUACGAAUCACGUAUCUGAAUGCAACGCCUCUGCACUGGAACAGGAGGUUCUCUUUAUGGCUGAUGGACAUGAGGAAUCCUUGCCAAAAAAUCUUGACAGGAUGAGUCGCGCUAUAUUUUCAGCUGCAACUGCACUUGUCUCCACGGUGCUGGCUACAUUCUCAAAAGCGUUCACAUAGUACAAAUGCUUACCAUCCAAAAUAAAGGGUGCGAAUUUUUCAGGAGCCUUGUAAUGAGGGUAUGCGCCCCAGUUUAUUUGAACGGUCUCCUUCCUCACACUACCAGUAGCGGCAAUAAACAUCAAUCAGUACAGAGCAGAUCAAGUUUUUUGCAUCAAAAUACAUAAUUUAAUAAUUGGGGGUGAGUUUGAAUGGACUGUAUAUAUUAAUUCAGCAAAUCUGCACAAUUUUUGUUAAAUAUUUCCAGUUCUCAUGAAAAAGGGUCUUACUCACACCAAAAUUAUUUAAAAAGUUCACAAGUGAAACCAGAUACAACCAUACACUAUGACUGGUGAUAGGUUAGCCAGUGGCAUAACAAACAAUAAUAGCACAAUAAAAAUCCUUGCAGUAACCAUUAAGGAAAUUAUUAUGAUCCUCAUUUUUCAUUGAAAGGAUUAAACAGUUGAGGGAAAUUGAAAGUAGUACCUAAAGAUGCUAUCCAGUAACGCAUCAGUCAUUGCUUGACGAGAGAAUAUUUUGUAUGUCAUAUCUGUCUCAUUGUAACACUUGAGGAUUGAAAUGCUUGUGAAAGGAAGACGAGGGUCCUCUAUUGUGGCCACCAGUUCUGGAAUUUCUGAAACAGCUUUCAGGCCAAAAUAUACCUUUGUCCAUGACAAACACCAGAAUUUAAUGAAUAAAGUAUAAACUAUCAUAUAGAAGGAAAGAAGGGCUGGCAAGAGAACAACCCAUAGAGGAGGAAUAUACUUGUGAGCCGAAAGCCGUAAAGGAGCGUGAAAUUUGUAAUUGCUAUGAUACUUACAGGAUUUACGAGGCCCCUCACAAAAGUUGCAUGUGUGUGCUGUAAUUGCCUCACAGGAACUGAAACUGGAGGUGAAAAUUGAAUACUCGAUUCAUCUAGUGGUGUAGCAACCACUGCGACUUCACAUGAGUAUGCAUUUCCUUUUGUGGAGUUGAGCUCAUAAUAUUCUCCAAGAUAAGAGAUGGAAUCAAUUUCUUCAUGGAGAUACAGUUCAACAUCUGAACUAUUAAUUAGUCCAGCAGCUAUCUGCCAGUUCCCUCCUUCAACAGCCCAUACACCCCGACCAGAUCCUGCCAAGGAAACUGCUCC
rnacentral:lncRNA from 1 species